rnacentral:tRNA from 1 species
UCCCUGGUAGUCCAGUGGUUGGGACUCUGCACUUCAAUUGCAGGAGGCAUGAGUUCAAUCCCUGAUUGGGGAU